GGGUUGAAUUAUUCGGCUGUUUCGGAUCAAUUUAAAACCCUAAUGAAGAUAAAAGAAAAAACUUCCCCUUAAAGGUGUCAGCUUCUUUGUGGAGGGAUUUAAAUCCCUUGUCUUACUGGGAAUGUUACUGCCAAUAUAUCUUUGGGAAGUCAGGAUAUUGCAGAUAUAACUUCUCAAGCACAAACAUUCAAGUGGGAUUCUGUUGUUCCUCUUCUGAGUACAGAUACAUCAAAGUUACAGAUUUCUGCCUUGAAUGCUGGGAACUGAGACUACAGAUAAGUAAUGUAACAUCAAACAUAUUAUUUGAUAAGAAAAUAUUGAAAAAUAGAAAUCGAUCCCCGUCCAACUUUCAUCAAGUAGCCUUCAGAAGGAC